UACGGGGGGAGCAAGCGUUGUUCGGAUUUACUGGGCGUAAAGCGUGCGCAGGCGGUUUUGUAAGCCAGAUGUGAAAGCCCCGGGCUCAACCUGGGAAUGGCAUUUGGGACUGCAAGGCUGGAGUAUGGCAGAGGAGACUAGAAUUCCUGGUGUAGCAGUGAAAUGCGUAGAUAUCAGGAGGAAUACCGAUGGCGAAGGCAGGUCUCUGGGCCAAUACUGACGCUCAUGCACGAAAGCGUGGGGAGCAAACAGG
rnacentral:rRNA from 1 species